ensembl:lncRNA
CCCCGUGCCGCUGUCACCGCCCCGUCCCCUCCUGCGCAGAGCUCUCCGCGGAGAUGUCCGCUCCUCCCUCCCACCGGGAGCCCCGCGGUGCCGUCCGAUCUCAGCCUCUCCGCGGCGUUUACGUGAAAGGUCGGCAUCUGACUCAUGACUCCAAUGCGGUGGUAGAUCCACGGUAACAUCUGAAGCUAAUGCAGCCUUCCAUCAGCUUGAGGAUGCCAUCCUCUGUUCAGCUGCACUGUGGGGCUCCACCUCCCACAUCUCUGGUGUGGAACCACCCAGUACCCGCACAGCUGUGCCCUCACCAGAGCUGUGUGUACCCAGGGAGCAGCUGUGAGCACUGAGCACCACUCCAAGGUGCAGUGAUAGCGUCGUUCCCCAACACCACCACGGCUCUGACAUGCAGAGGCAGUAUCUACCGACUUCCCAGAAGUAGAGCUUUCUCAGCUGUUUUUAUUUUUGCUGAGUGACGUGUUGGACAAACAGGAGCAGUUCGCUGUGCCCCAGCUGUCACAGGGCCGAGUCACACAGAGCGUGCCGACAGCGCUUGACGCUGGAACAAAACAAGUGCUGCCUCUCUGCAGCCAGCGCGUAUCUGUGCUGGAUGCUGCAUAUACUGGAAACUCAUAUCAGCUCAUGGAAGCCUGGAUUGCCAAAAGGCAGAACCCAGAUUGAGGAGGUGUCAGUAAAGGCAUUUAUGAAGAUCUGGACAAGCUCAGCCAGCAAAGCACAAUAACCCUGAAAAGCUGUUUGUACAGCACUGAUUUGCUGCACCCAUAGGAUGCUGUAGCCUUCAAAUGCACCCAGAAGGCAAAGCAGAGUGCACGCAGCAGGUUAGGGCAUAAACAUCUCUGGUAUUAACAUCACAUCAGUAUUAAUUCAGACUUGAAGAAAAUUGUCACAUUUCACAACAAAGUCACUUCUUUCCUUCCCUGUUUCUCAGUUGAGUUUGGGUGUUAUUUCUCCAAUGCAUUUUGCACCAUCGUUUUGAUGUGCAUUUAUUGUUCCAAGAAAUGUAUCCAUUACCAGAGCUUCCUUGCAGCACGAGGUAUGACUUCAUUUGAUCAACCGACUGAAGGCUGAGUGGAAUUCAUGAGACUUCUCUGAUACUUAGCACUCAUUGGUGAGGGACAGGCUGGGCUGUAGUCAUGUUCCUGGCCCACAUCUGCAACAGUAAGCCCAGGAAACAUCAGAGCGCUUUUCUGAGUCCCACACCUACCCACGUGGCUACAAACUUGAGAUAUCUUGUAGCUAACUGAAGGUCCUGAGCCGCUUUAGGCUCUGCCUCGGGAGCACAGUGAAAGGAAGUUCUAUGCCGGUACCUUCAGCCCAUAGAGGCAGAGGGAAAGCAGGGUCGGUUCGGCAACAUCUCCGCAGCGACCUCCUUUCAGCGCCGGGAACGGCCCGCAGCGCCACCUAGCGGCCAUGGCGGGGAAGUGACACCGACCGGAGGACGAGAAGGGAUCUGGCAGUGCUCGACCGGCCGCGGAGCACCUGGAGUUUCUGGGGAUGAUUUUCAGUUUCCACGAAGCAGAAGAGCUUUCCUGUGGAGCGUCGGUGUCUCAGACACGGUCUCCCUGCUUGGGUAGAUGCUGAAGAGCCCUCUCCAGGGAAGCGAAGCACACAGCAAAGCCCCCCAGGGUCAGAAGGAGAUCAUCCAGCAGAGACCAGACCCCACCCCGUGCCGGGUGGAGGAUUUAAUGGCACGCUAUUGGGACAAGCAGAGGCACAAGGACGGCUCCAGCUCUGCCUGCAGAUGCCCACGUGCCCUGUGGGAGCUCACCUGACCGAGCCCGGAGCACGCCCUGGUGGGGAGAACAUCUCUUUGUCCUCAUUCAGAUUACCAACUUGCUAAGCACACUCCCUCCUUGCAAAGUGAAAGGGAAAACAUGGGAGAAACUAGCAUUAUUA